rnacentral:rRNA from 1 species
AUGCAAGUCGAACGAGCGAGAGAGAGCUUGCUUUCUCGAGCGAGUGGCGAACGGGUGAGUAACGCGUGAGGAACCUGCCUCAAAGAGGGGGACAACAGUUGGAAACGACUGCUAAUACCGCAUAAGCCCACAGGUCGGCAUCGACCAGAGGGAAAAGGAGCAAUCCGCUUUGAGAUGGCCUCGCGUCCGAUUAGCUAGUUGGUGAGGUAACGGCCCACCAAGGCAACGAUCGGUAGCCGGACUGAGAGGUUGAACGGCCACAUUGGGACUGAGACACGGCCCAGACUCCUACGGGAGGCAGCAGUGGGGAAUAUUGCACAAUGGGGGAAACCCUGAUGCAGCGACGCCGCGUGGAGGAAGAAGGUCUUCGGAUUGUAAACUCCUGUUGUUGAGGAAGAUAAUGACGGUACUCAACAAGGAAGUGACGGCUAACUACGUGCCAGCAGCCGCGGUAAAACGUAGGUCACAAGCGUUGUCCGGAAUUACUGGGUGUAAAGGGAGCGCAGGCGGGAAGACAAGUUGGAAGUGAAAUCUAUGGGCUCAACCCAUAAACUGCUUUCAAAACUGUUUUUCUUGAGUAGUGCAGAGGUAGGCGGAAUUCCCGGUGUAGCGGUGGAAUGCGUAGAUAUCGGGAGGAACACCAGUGGCGAAGGCGGCCUACUGGGCACCAACUGACGCUGAGGCUCGAAAGUGUGGGUAGCAAACAGGAUUAGAUACCCUGGUAGUCCACACCGUAAACGAUGAUUACUAGGUGUUGGAGGAUUGACCCCUUCAGUGCCGCAGUUAACACAAUAAGUAAUCCACCUGGGGGAGUACGACCGCAAGGUUGAAACUCAAAGGAAUUGACGGGG